ensembl:snRNA U6 U6 spliceosomal RNA
GUGCUUGCUUCAGCAGCACAGAUACUAAAAUUAAAACAAUACAGAGAAGAUGAGCAUGGCCCCUCUGCAAGGGUGAUAUGCAAAUUCACGAAGCAUUCUGUAUUUAA